AGCGGAGUAGAGCAGCGGUAGCUCGCCAGCCUCAUAAGCUGGAGGUCGCGGGUUCAAAUCCCGCCUCCGCAACCA
rnacentral:tRNA from 1 species